rnacentral:rRNA from 1 species
GACGAACGCUGGCGGCGUGCCUAAUACAUGCAAGUAGAACGCUGAAGAGAGGAGCUUACUCUUCUUGGAUGAGUUGCGAACGGGUGAGUAACGCGUAGGUAACCUGCCUUGUAGCGGGGGAUAACUAUUGGAAACGAUAGCUAAUACCGCAUAACAAUGGAUGACACAUGUCAUUUAUUUGAAAGGGGCAAUUGCUCCACUACAAGAUGGACCUGCGUUGUAUUAGCUAGUAGGUGAGGUAAUGGCUCACCUAGGCGACGAUACAUAGCCGACCUGAGAGGGUGAUCGGCCACACUGGGACUGAGACACGGCCCAGACUCCUACGGGAGGCAGCAGUAGGGAAUCUUCGGCAAUGGGGGCAACCCUGACCGAGCAACGCCGCGUGAGUGAAGAAUGUUUUCGGAUCGUAAAGCUCUGUUGUAAGUCAAGAACGGGUGUGAGAGUGGAAAGUUCACACUGUGACGGUAGCUUACCAGAAAGGGACGGCUAACUACGUG